AUGUGCUUUUGAAUUUUGCAGCCUCAGGUACACCACUUCCUGCUCCAGGACCAGUGGCUUUUGGACCGUCUCCUUCAUCACCCUCAGGAUUUACUCCAACUCCUAGUCCUCAAGCUUCUUCUUCUUCUGCCAUUCCCCCAUCACCACCGAGUCCACCUUCUCUGGCACCAGAGUCUGACACAAGUAGUAGCUCUCCUCCUCUUCAAAGUCCGGCAUCUCCAUCAGUGGACUCUGGAACCACAAGUACACCAGCUUCAUCCACGGGAAGUUCCCGCCCUGGUCUCACUUCAUCAUCCGCCAUCAAACUUUUCAAUGCGCCUCCUUCUCUUCUAUUCAUUGCAGUUGGAGUUGCUGUUCUCAAGUUCAUGUACCUAUGGAAUUGAUGUUACUAUGUAUUCUUUUGCGGCGUGGCUGCUCAUAUCACCUUCUUUUUUCGAAUCGAAGCUAUUUGUAUUGUAAAUUUGUAAUGUGUAUUAUUAUUCUUAUUGAGGUUGUUGGACGCAUGUAAUUGGGAA